GACGAACGCUGGCGGCGUGCUUAACACAUGCAAGUCGAACGGAGCUUCUUGGAUAGAGACUUCGGUCAAUUGAAUUGAAGCCUAGUGGCGGACGGGUGAGUAACACGUGAGCAACCUGCCUUUUGGAACGGGAUACCGUUUGGAAACGAACGUUAAUACCGUAUAAAGUAGCGAAUCCGCAUGCUUUUGCUACCAAAGAUUUAUCGCCAAAAGAUGGGCUCGCGUCUGAUUAGAUAGUUGGUGAGGUAACGGCCCACCAAGUCGACGAUCAGUAGCCGGACUGAGAGGUUGAACGGCCACAUUGGGACUGAGACACGGCCCAGACUCCUACGGGAGGCAGCAGUGGGGAAUAUUGCACAAUGGGCGCAAGCCUGAUGCAGCGAUGCCGCGUGAGGGAAGAAGGUUUUCGGAUUGUAAACCUCUGUCAUCGGGGACGAUAAUGACGGUACCCGAGAAGGAAGCUCCGGCUAACUACGUG
rnacentral:rRNA from 1 species